CCCUUAGAUGUCCUGGGCCGCACGCGCGCUACACUGAUGCAUGCAACGAGUUUAUAACCUUGGCCUGAAAGGUCUGGGUAAUCUUUUGAACGUGCAUCGUGAUAGGGAUAGAUUAUUGCAAUUGUUAAUCUUGAACGAGGAAUUCCUAGUAAACGCGAGUCAUCAGCUCGCAUUGAUUACGUCCCUGCCCUUUGUACACACCGCCCGUCGCUCCUACCGAUUGAGUGAUCCGGUGAGGCUCUGGGACCUGGACGGAAAGAGCGUUUCGCUUGUUCUGUUUGGGAAACUUGGUCGAACCUUAUCAUUUAGAGGAAGGAGAAGUCGUAACA
rnacentral:rRNA from 1 species